CUACGGGCGGCAGCAGUGAGGAAUUUUGCGCAAUGGGGGGAACCCUGACGCAGCAACGCCGCGUGAGUGAUGAAGGCUUUCGGGUCGUAAAGCUCUGUCAAGUGGGAAGAACCUAUGCAGUGUUAAUAUCACUGUAUACUGACGGUACCACUGAAGGAAGCACCGGCUAACUCCGUGCCAGCAGCCGCGGUAAUACGGGGGGGUGCAAGCGUUAUUCGGAAUCAUUGGGCGUAAAGGGCACGUAGGCGGCUUGGUAAGUCAGAUGUGAAAGCCCGGGGCUUAACCCCGGAAGUGCAUUUGAUACUGUCCGGCUUGAGUAUGGGAGAGGGAAGUGGAAUUCCUGGUGUAGAGGUGAAAUUCGUAGAUAUCAGGAGGAACACCGGUGGCGAAGGCGACUUCCUGGACCAAUACUGACGCUGAGGUGCGAAGGCGUGGGUAGCAAACAGGAUUAGAUACCCCCGUAGUC
rnacentral:rRNA from 1 species